rnacentral:lncRNA from 10 species
CUCCCGGGUUCAAACGAUUCUUCUGCCUCAGCCUCUUGAGUUGCUGGGAUUACAGGCACCAGUCACCACGCCCAGCUAAUUUUUGUAUUUUUAGUAGAGGCGGGGUUUCACCAUGUUGGCCAGGCUGGUCUUGAACUCCUGACCUCGAGAUCCGCCUGGCUCAGCGUCCCAAAAUUCUGGGAUUACAGGUGUGAGCCACCGUGUCUGGCUGCAAUUUUUAAUAUUUGACUGUUCCCAGCCUUUGUGAGUUUCCUCCUUUGCCUGUGAAGAGAAUAUCGUCUUUGAUGCAUGCAACUUCACAGUCCACAAGGUGACUCAGCCUUCAUCAAAUGAUUUCCUGCAAUUUUUAAAAAAUGCUGAAUUGAAGAAUUUUCCUAUGAUGAGGGAGAGAUGAGAAGUAAAGGCAAGGACUUGAUGAGAAAGGCCCAAAAGAGCUGCAUAAGAAGGAGAGGGAGGAAAAAGCCACCUGGGUACGGAAAGUGCCUGGAGAAGGAGGAGAGAGACUCCUCUGAGUGUGGGGAAGACAAGUCUGUUGGCAACGAGAGGCUCUGCAGAAUACAGGAGCACUAGCCAGGAGAGGAAGAAGAGGACACACCCCUCCCUACCCUUUCCAGCCUCUGGUAACCAUCCUUCUACUCUCUAUCCCGGUUUGAUGAUGUCCUGGCCAAGUGUGGUGCCUCAUGUUUGUAAUCCUAGCACUUUGGGAGGCCAAGGCAGGAGGAUUGCUUGAGGCUAGGAGUUGGAGACCAGCCUGGGCAACAUGGUGAAAUCCUGUCUCUACAAAAAAUACAAAAAUUAACUGGAUGUGGUGGUGAACACUUGUAGUCCCAGCUACAGUAGCCCUGCUGAGGAAGAAGGAUGAUAUGAUCUGGGAGGUCGAGGCUGCAGUCAGCCGUGAUUGUACCACUGCACUCUAGCCUGGGUGACAGAGUGAGACCCUGUCUGAAAAAAAUAAAAAUAAGUAAUUUUGAUAAAGUCCAGUUUAUUACUUUUUUUUUUC